GUGAGGAAUUUUCCGCAAUGGGCGAAAGCCUGACGGAGCAAUGCCGCGUGAAGGAUGAAGGCCUAUGGGUUGUAAACUUCUUUUCUUAGAGAAGAAUAUUGACGGUAUCUGAGGAAUAAGCAUCGGCUAACUCUGUGCCAGCAGCCGCGGUAAGACAGAGGAUGCAAGCGUUAUCCGGAAUGAUUGGGCGUAAAGCGUCUGUAGGUGGCUUCAAAAGUCUCCUGUCAAAGAUCAGGGCUUAACCCUGGGCCGGCAGGAGAAACUCUGAGGCUAGAGUUUGGUAGGGGCAGAGGGAAUUCCCGGUGGAGCGGUGAAAUGCGUAGAGAUCGGGAGGAACACCAAAGGCGAAAGCACUCUGCUGGGCCACAACUGACACUGAGACACGAAAGCAUGGGGAUCAAACAGGAUUAGAAACCCCAGUAGUCC
rnacentral:rRNA from 1 species